GACGAAGGUGGCGACCGUUGUUCGGAAUCACUGGGCAUAAAGAGCACGUAGGCGGCAGGGUAUGUCGGGUGUGAAAUCCCUCGGCCUAACCGAGGAAUUGCGCCCGAAACUACCUUGCUUGAGGAUGGAAGGGGAGCGUGGAAUUCCUGGUGGAGCGGUGAAAUGCGUUGAUAUCAGGAGGAACACCGGCGGCGAAGGCGACGCUCUGGUCCAUUACUGACGCUGAGGUGCGAAAGCCAGGGGAGCAAACGGG
rnacentral:rRNA from 1 species